rnacentral:misc_RNA from 2 species
UUGAAUGAACUUGGUCUGGUUGUUGCUGGCCCUCUUGGGGGCAUGUGCACACCUGCCAUCCUCAUCUCUCCACCUGUGCACCUUUUGUAGAUUUGGAUUGACUUUCUGAGGUAACUCAGUCGUGAGGAUUGCUCUGGCUUUCCUUGUAUUUCCAAGUCUAUGUUUUUCAUAUACCCCAUUGUAUGUAACCAGAAUGUAUCAUUAGGCCUUUGUGCCUAUAAAACCUAUA